CUAGUACGAGAGGACCGGAGUGGACGGAUCUCUGGUGGACCGGUUGUCAUGCCAAUGGCAUAGCCGGGUAGCUAAAUCCGGAAGAGAUAAACGCUGAAAGCAUCUAAGCGUGAAACUCGCCUCGAGAUGAGACUUGCCUCUGGCUUUAAGCCAGCUAAAGAGUCGUUCAAGACCAGGACGUUGAUAGGUCAGGUGUGGAAGUGCAGUAAUGCGUUAAGCUAACUGAUACUAAUUGCCCGUGAGGCUUGAUCCUAUAACAG
rnacentral:rRNA from 1 species